UCCCUGGUGGCUCAGAUGGUAAAGCAUCUGCUUACAAUGCUGGAGACCCGGGUUCGAUUCCUGGGUUGGGAA
rnacentral:tRNA from 1 species